AAUUUAGUAGGCAACAGAAACGGUAAUAUCUACGCAAAACAUGGCAAAUGGAUUUUUUAUAUUGAUGUACAGGAACUAUACAUUGUGGAGAAAAAAAGAAAAAGAAACCAAUGGGACAUUCUACUCUACCGGCCUCAAAAUCGACAACAAACUACACUCUUCUCCCCUACAAAAGAAUCGGUGAAAACAAAAACUAUAAGGGUGUUUACAAGAAUGAGCUACAGAUACAAUUUGCCUAAUAUACAACCAUCAAGCAUCUAUUCAACAAAAAAAAUAUACAUGUAUAUAUAUAGAUCAACAACCCAUUCAAUUUUCAUUUUGUCCAGCCAAUCUGAUUUGGCUCAGCACCGUUCAAUACGUGCGACAAUGAUCCCCCACAUUGUUUUUGAACCAACAAUGGGUCAAGGUCAAGAACCAACUUCCUGUCCAGAGCCAGGUUUGUCCAAUCAUAAUGACAAUUUACAGUAG